AAAUAAGAGUUAAGUAAACCUCAAAUAGUGACAUAAAAAUAGAAACCAAAAGCGAUAGUCAGGUAGCUAGUACAAGAGUCAAAUGACGGCGCUGCUCACCUUUGCUCUUGGCCGCCAAAUUUGUAUCCUCAAUAGCUUCCUCGGAUACGGAAAUCGAAGAUCUUCUAUCAAAGCCCUCACUUGACAAACGUCGUAUCCCGAAAUUCCCUUAUCGGUGGUUACUUUAAACACAGCCACAUCCAACAAGCGGAAUACCUGUUCGACUAAAUGCCUCAUAGAGAUGUCAUUUUCGGAACACAAACGCUCUCCGGGUAGCAACGCCAGUAAGCCGGAGAAAGUAUACAUUAUUUUUUAUAGAUAUGAAUAGAUGUGGAGAAAUGAGACCAAUGAUCUCACUUUCACGGUAUGUGUUAGCUCCUUCUUGCAUUUUUUAUCACAAACAUUUGAUCCCUCGGCUUCAUUGUCUCGUGCUCUGUUUGGAGAUAAGUCUCAAUUUAUUUGCUGAGGGGUUAUGUUGAUUUGGAUGAUUACAGGGGUUUAGGUUGAGUUUUUUAAUGAAAUUAUGGACAAAGAUGUUAUGCUGUGGAAUGUGUUGAUUUUGGGUUAUAUGAAGUUUGGGUGCACAAGUGAGGUGCAAGGGCUUUUGGUCAAGGCAGAGCAAGGUGGGGUUUGUGGGUUUGUUUGAAUUUGUUUGAACCAAGAAGCUUUUCGAUAGUCGAUGGAUUUUUAUUAGAAAAAUAAAUAUAUAUGUAUAUUAACUUGUGAAGAUGGUUCAAUGCUGAAGAAGUGACUCCGGAGUGCUUGAGUUGUGGGUUUGAAACCCCUUAAUCUGAACCACCCUCUCUUUUAGAAUCUCAAAACUCAUAAUCCUGACUUUGCCUAAGAACAAGAAGCUUAAUGAAGCUCGAUUCGUUUUUGAUGAGAUGAGUGAGAAAGAUGUGAUUACUUGGAUAUCAAUGAUAAAAGGAUAUGUGUGUUAUGGAGAGUUAUGAAUGCUUUGAAAUUGUUUAAGUUGAUAUUGAACUCGAGUUCUCAUCUUAACCAUUUUACGUUUUCAACUAUUUUAGAUGCAUGCGCAGGUUACUCUGCUGUUUUGGUAGGCAAUCAAGUUCAUGCGUGCAUGUUGAUGUCAUCUUGUUUACCUCUCCUGUUGACAUGUAUGCUAAAUGUGGAGACAGUGAAGUUGCUUUCUGCAUUUUUGAGUCAAUCCCUGCAAGAAAUUUGAUCAUUGGAGGUUACGCAAACAUGGGCUUGCAGGUGUUUGAUAGGAUGCUGAAGAGUGGUAUCAGGUCUGGGGGCAUUGCUAGGAUCAUGUAGGUUGCACUCAUGUCUAGAGUUCAGAGAGAUUGCAGCAAAUGGUAUCUACACAUUGGAGCACAACCAUCCUGCAAUAUACUCGGUGCUUUCCAAAAUCCACGGAGACAAAGGAGUGUGCAGUGACAUAACUAGUUUCAAACUUUGGUAACUUGAUGAAGAAAUGACGUGCUACAGAGCAGAAGGCUGGUAGAAUGUCUGUCUACUAUGAGGCAAGUGGCUUUCUACAUAACAUUUUCCUUAAGAAAUUAUUAAAAAUCUAUACAUCUUUAAGUUUUUCCUUUUUAGUAUCUUAAUUUGUAUGCCCAAUAGAACAUAAAUUUUUAAAAACCAAAUCAUAUGGGAUAUAACAUGUAAGUUCUUGUGCCAAAAAACUUUUAUCAAAUUCGAUCAUUUUUCUCUUAUAAAUAUAACUUUAGCUGUCAAUGUUUUGAAUUAAAUUUAAAAGAUUAGAUAUUCUAUUUAUUUGUUUGAAUUUGAAUCAUGAUAGUUCAUAGAUACACUCAAUUCAUUAGUUGUUAAUUUACAUUAUUUGAUGUUCAUUAAAAAUUAUUACUUUAUUGAUAUGUAGUCGAGAGUUAUUUAUUAUCAGACAUGAGGUCGACCAGAAUUGCAAUUUUUGGAAAUAUUUUUUCUUUUAUUACUACUAUAUAAAAGGAAAAAUAUCUAAUUUUGUAGUUUGAUAAAUUUUAAGAACUUUAAGGACUUUUUAUAUGCUACAAAAAAUGAUGUUAUCAUGAAAAGGAUUAUACAAUCCUACAAAGUGUUUUCAUAUAUUGAGAUUACUUAACUUUUUACAAAUAAAAUUUUACUUUAAGACAUUAUUGUAAGCAUAAAUUUAAUGCACAUUAGGAUCUUAGACUAUAAUUUACUCAUAGGCAUUAUAGAAACAUGUCUGAAUACAUUAUCGUGAAAAGUGAUUUUUACAAUAAUAUCUUUAGGUAUGUUUCUAUAAUGCCUCUCAGUAAAUUAUUUUGUCUAAGAUCCUGACAUGCAUUAGGUUUUUGCAUACACUAUAUAAUAUCUUAAGACAAACUAUUAUUUGUAACAAGUUUAGUAAUAUUUUCAUAUAAAUUAAAGACUUAAUAUACGAAUGUACUUUGUAGGAUCAUUGUUAUCUUUUUCAUGAAAACACAAUUUCUAGUAACAUACAAUUUCUUUUGAAGUUCUUAAAAUUUAUUAAAUAUUCCAAGUCUUACGGAUUUCUUUUUGAAUAAAAAGGACAAGAUAAUUAAUAUGUAGACUAUAAAAGUGGAUAUUCUUAUAUAGGAGUAAAUAAUAAGAGAAAAAUAAUUUCCAAAAAGUAGCAAUCCUGAUUCAUGCAUGAUAAUAAAUCACUUGUGAUUAUAUAAUUUUUUUAAUGAGUAUCAAACAAUGUGAUUUGACAAUUAAAGUUAUAUUUAUAGAAGCAUAAGUGGUCAAAUUUUAAUUUAUCCUUUGUUAUACUAUAAUUUAAAAUUACUCUAUCAUUAUCUGAAUAAUUCAAAUAUAUUUCAACUCUGUUAAGCUUUUUUUCUUUGUUGGUUAAAUGACACGAAUAUUUGUGGAAAGAGGUCAUACUUUGUAUAGCAGGAUAAGUAGCUAUGACAAAUAGGUAGUUUCCUAUUGUACAUAGUUCCACACAUGUUGCUUUGAUUGUAUAUAUUGGUGGGACUAUCUAAACAGUAGGGUUUUCAAAAGACUGGUAAUUCACUCCUUUGCUCAAUAGAUGAGUAAUUCGGUUCUUCUCCCAGUUGCAUUUGAGAUCUGCACUAUACAAGAAUAAUAGAAGAAUGCAUAUUAUCAUGAUUUUGCAUAUUUAUGACUUCUAAAGAGUGGAGAUUGAUUUCAACGGGGGGGAAGAUUGUACUGAAUAGCUAGCCAUGAGCCUUGUAGGGCUUUGAGCACUUCCAUUAUGGAAUUGAGGGUCCAAUUCCCUCUAUGAUUUCUAAUAAUGCCUCUGAUUUCGUCAAUACUAGAGUUGAACUUGACAGAACCAUCACUGUUAAGCAUGUAAGUCUCACGAGAAGCGGAGUUCCAUUUAAUUAAGAUUGUAUAUGGUUGUCCUUUAGGUAUGAGAGUUUGGUCGAUGAGAAGAUGGUACUCAAUAACUUAGAGGCAUUUUGAUGUACUACAUAAUGUGAAAGGGGAUAUGCUUCCUAGAGAAACCCUAUCUAGCAUAGUUCUGCUAGCCAUGUUGAGGAACUUGUCUUGUUGUUCAUACUUUCAAUAAUUAGUUGGGAGUCACUAUUGUCAGCCUUCAUUUGGAAAUAUAUUUUCUUAUAUUUCUACUAUUUACAAGGAAGGAUAUUCAAUUUUGUAGUACACACAUGAAUUUUCUUGUUCUUUUUAUUCAAAUUGAAAUUCGUAAAA